ensembl:snRNA U2 U2 spliceosomal RNA
AUCGCUUCUCGGCCUUUUGGCUAAGAUCAAGUGUAGUAUCUGUUCUUAUCAGUUUAAUAUCUGAUACGUCCUCGAUGAGAGGACUUUAUAUUAAACGGAUUUUUGGGUUCGGGAGUUGGACCCGGAGCUUGC